rnacentral:rRNA from 1 species
GGGAUAAAAAAGAGAGAACAGAACGCUGUCGUCCUACACAACUUUCUCCCUCGCGUCUCGUUCUUUUCUUCCCCCGACUGGUGGCUAGGGUUCCCAUCGGCAGUACCGCAGCCGCCGCCACUGGAGAAGGCGGCAAGGCGCCCUUCUGAGAUGCUCUUCUCCUCCAAACUUUUUGUCUUCGCAGCAAGGUGUCAUUCCAUCCCAUCACCAUGGUGGUUGCAGAGGAGGGGAGGAAGGGGAUGGCAUCGAGGUGCCGACGGAGCACAUAGGUCGAGGCGGCAAGAUGCAGAGGUGCGGGUGGUGCGAACGGAGAGGCAACUCCAUACCCGCGCGCAGUCGCCUGCCCUCUCCUUCCUCCUCUGCCUUCCCUCUCCUCCAGUCAGCGCCGCCACCACUGCCACACCUCGCCGCUACACUAUUCCUGCAGCGGUGACCCCGUGGAGGAGCAGAUCGACCACAACGGUUUAAAGUUCUCUGCUAGGUUUGGAGCUACUACUCCAUCUUCGAUCCCAGCCAUCUCGCACCCCCCUGAAAAUUUCUGGAGAUAGCAAGACAUGAACUACUGACCGUCUCGGGCUGACAGCUGAGGGAGAGGGGGAGGGCAGCUGCCGCUGCUUCUCUCGAGCCCUUGUUGCUGGUGUGGUGGAUCUGCUCCGAGCCCCUCAAGCCACCCAUCUUCAAGAUUGUCGCAAGGUUGAGACUAGAGUCCAACUCUGAGCUCUGAGCUCCAGGGGAGUGACCAACUCAUGGCGUGGUGUCUGCUUGCUGUAGGUAUACUCAUCCUCAAUACCCAGCUCUCUUCUCGUGCACUUCUUCUUGAUCAUCAUGUCUCUGAAUCCCGCAUGUAUGUUCUCUCUUCCUUCACCAUCCUUCUAGGAGUAUUCGACAAGUAAUCUCUUUUUCUCAAAUAUCCAUAGUUCACAGGACUGGUGAUUGCUUAGCAAAGCAUUUGAACAAUUUAACUGAUGCUCAUGAUUGUAAACUGCAUGAUACAGAGCACCCUAACGAGUUUAUAUAUGUCAUCAUUGAAGAAAAUGUGAUCAGCGAAGGAGUUUCCUUUUAUUAAAAUAAAUUGGAAUAUAACUUUGAUUUAGUAAUACGCUCUUCAUGAUUUAUUUUCGUAUGGCUUCAGUCUGAGGGCAAUGAGCACUGGAGGUUUCAUAGCCACUCUUGAGUUAAUGAUGACCUUGCCUAAAAAAAUGCCCACAUCCCAUAUAGGCCAGUAUUAUUCAAUAUCCACAUGCCUCAACAUGUACAGUGCACAGUUACUUACAUAAGUAAACCCUCAGCUCACUCUAACCUUUUGUUGUCAAAUGUAGGAACUCCAAGCUAACUCAUAUAUCAAUCCUAUUUUCCUGUAACUAUUUUAGGUGCAUCUACUUGAUUUCUCCUUUUGGUUUAGGGAAAGUUUCAAGGGUCACUACUUUUGGAUUCUUAAUUGAUGUUUUUUGUGUGGCAAUCAAACGAGAGAGCAUCCAAUAUCUGUUACCUACUCCCUCCGUUCCAAAAUAGAUGACUCAACUUUAUACUAUUUUGGAACGGAGGGAGUACAUUGGAGGCCGAUGCAUUAGAUUUCACCAUCUUCAUCUAUUUUGUUUCAAGAUCAUUGUUAUUUUGAUUCAAGAUAUUUUCUCAUUGUGAUGGAAGAUAGAAAAGGAUGGUUGUAGAAAGACAAUUAUUUUACUUGGAGUUUUUUUUCUGUGUUUGCAUUGAAAUAAUAAUGUUCAACAGCAGAUAUAGCUUGCAGUCAAGAUACCACACAAAUAGAAUUCAGUUUUACUUAAAGGAGCUUGCCAACCUAAUUUUGGUUCUGGCUGCAGCACAAUGCAGAUUUUGAUUUGGUUUGCUUGCAAGAGAUUUGUUAUUUUGAUUAUUUUAUUCACUAUUCUAUAUGAUUGUCCUUUACUUUGGAACUAAACAAGCUCCAUUUUCUGUCUUUUACAUUGCAUUCUUUCUUGGUUAACUGAACUUUUCUGUUCUCAUUUCUUCCAUUUAAUGACGUGAAUAUUUUUGAUGAGACGAUAGAUGUUCUUUCGGUCUUCUUGGUUAAAUGAACUUCUCUUUUCUUCAUGUUUGGCCACAAUGAAUACUUGCUCAUACCGAACUAUAAUUGCAAAUGGUUUGCGCAUGAACGAGCAUAGGCUGCAUUGCAUUCUUUUGUGGGAGAACAACAAGGAACUGGAGACGAAAUUGGAAGACAACAGGGAGUGAGUUGAAGGUACCUGAACAAGUCACCUGUACGUAUUGUCCCAUGUGCUGUCUGCUUACAUAGCUCUGUUGCCACAGAAGGAUGCAAACAUGAGUUCUGCAUGAGAUGUGUGCCACGUACAUUUGCUUGACCAGCUACACAUUGGUGAACCCAACAGGCGCUAUUAUCGUGCCCACUCUGUCGGCACCCGAUCAUCUCGUCGUCAUUCUGCACGACGAGCCUAGCGGUUUCCUCGGACUUCACCGCCCCCGGGGACCGGGCCACCGAGCUUCGUUGUGGUGCUGGUGCCCACAUGUUGUCGAUGGGCUUGAUGAGAACGGGAUGAUGCUACCGUUGGUGCGGAGCCAUUGCGCCAUCAUCAACCACGCACGACGGGAGUAGCUCUUUGAGGAGAUUGAGACUGAGGAUGACAAGGAGUUGAACCAGCACGAUGCCGAUGCCAAAAAGUCACAUGUCGACAGCUCUCGCGGGUUGGCGCUGCCGCCAACGACGACGAGGCAAGCGGCUUCGGCUCGGGGCGCGUCGAAGUAGUCUUUUUUCUUUGGCUUUUAGUCUUUAUUAUGCUCGGUGUCAAUCUUUUACGUUGUAAAAAGCCUUGCAUACACUUGUGCCAAGAAUGGACCAAACAAGAAAAUGAAAGGGGCGCUAUCCCACCUGGCACCGCCAAGGUUCCACCUAGCCCCAACCACUAGUAUCUUUUACAACUCGUUUGGCUCCUGUCUUUUGACUCGGAUUUCACGGAUUUCAUUUCCGAAUUCCGGC